GGGAUUAGAUACCCCACUAUGCUUAGCCCUAAACAUUGGUGGCACACUACACCCGCCACCCGCCAGGGUACUACGAGCAUUAGCUUAAAACCCAAAGGACUUGGCGGUGCUUUAGACCCCCCUAGAGGAGCCUGUCGUAGAACCGAUAAUCCCCGUUAAACCUCACCUCUCCUUGUUUUACCCGCCUAUAUACCGCCGUCGUCAGCUUACCCUGUGAAGGCCUCAUAGUAAGCUUAAUUAGCAUAGCCCAGUACGUCAGGUCGAGGUGUAGCGCAUGGAGGGGGAACAGAUGGGCUACAUUCCCUACAUUAGAGAAUACGAAUUGUUUACUGAAAUGUAUUCAUGAAGGAGGAUUUAGUAGUAAGCCGGAAAUAGAGUGUCCUGCUGAAGCCGGCCCUAAAGCGUGCACACACCGCCCGU
rnacentral:rRNA from 1 species